GUAACGUGUGCUUCGCGUGUGCUCGAUGCACCGGCGCUGCGCGUUGAGUGGUUUAGACAGAGAGCGAACAGUGCCGUUGGUAGACAUAGAGACGCCGCGCGCCCACACACACGCACAGGGACCGCCAUCAUCGGACAUGGAAGCCUACCCAUUCUCUGUUGUCUCUCCUGUUGUCUUGCUGCAGAUUAGUGGUCACUGUAACAAAGAAUGUCCGACGUGCUCGGGUACCUCAACGGGGUGCUGCACCGAGUUUCGGCGACGUUCAUGCCGACCGAGAUGGACGACGUCGCCUCAUUCUUGCGCGGGGAUGCGUGGGUGGUCGCAACGGCGGCUUCCGCGUCGGCUCAGCAGACAGCACAGACAUCCUCCACAGCAGCAACCGACUUGUCGCCCGGGGCCGCAAGGCCGACUACGGUUUGUUACCCUCUUGGUGCAACACGCUGGGGUCACUUCAUCCCGCUCGGUAUUGCAGGCACCACACUAGUCUCCGCCGCCACCUCCGGAAGCCGAGCGGUGCUGCUCAAUUUCUUCGAGAGUAACGGAUUCGAGCAGGUGUUCACCGUGAGUCUCGUGCCGACCGAGCAGCAGCAGCAGCAGUCGAACGUGCAUCUGGCGGCACCAGGGACGAUGGAAGCUGCGAGUAGCUCUGGGGGCGCCGCCCUCUCUCGCGAUGGUCACCGUCACGCGGACCUCUGGCGCGCCCAAUGGCAUUCUUCCUUCUCGCCCAGCGGCACUGGCGAUACAGCCGCCUUUCGUAAACGGGCUCGGUCUAAUGCAGUCUCGUCUGCGGUCAUCGACGUGUCGCUGGACAGUCGCUAUAGCACUACGGCAGAGGCAGCGCGGCAGGCGUGCAUGGCUGCUGCGCGUCGCUGGUUCGAGGGGGUCGAGGAGAGGGCUCUGCUGGACGCCGAUGAGGUGAGAGAGGGCGGAGAUGGAGGUGCGCGGCGCAAGCACAAAACGUAUCUUCGGCGUCUGCUUUUGAUAGUGCGGUGCUGUACAGACAACCGUGUGGCGUUCUCCACCCGUGGUGGUGCCACUGGCGCGGCGCAGGCGUCAUUGUCGGGCACAAGCCGCCGGCACCGCCGCGGCGAAGACCCUCUAUACCUGCUGCUGCAUGACCUCGCAGCUCUCACGACAUUAUACGAGGUGCGGCUGGCUUCCACGUGCUGCGUGGCGCGGCCUGCGGUGCUGCUGCUGCCAGAAGACGACAGCUACGGCGGCUCCAUGCUGAGGCAGCAGCUCCGGGAGGAAGUGGGACACCGGUACUGGGUUGAGCUUUUCUUGCAGUCGGAUGGCGCAUCGAGUGGCGUUCCCGCGCGCCAUGGUGAAGCUGGCGCGGCGGACGCUGGCCGAGGAGCACGGAAAGGUGACGGGUGGAGAGCAACGCUGAUCGGCUGCAGCAGCGGUGCGAGUGUCGCACCUGGUGGGCUGGGUAGCGUCUUGCGACAGCGGCAGCACGAGCAGACCGAGACGCCGCUCGAGCGGGGCUGCCGCCUGGCGGCACAGUGGGGUGUUCUGGACCUGCCAGCGGCAACGCGAAGCGAGCCGCAAAACACGGGAGGUGAGGCGUUCAGGUACUCUGUAGCGAGCGCAUCCCCUUCUGUGGGCGUUCUUGGUGGUGGUAGUGCUUCGGAGCAGACGCCGUCAUCUAUUGCAGGCGGCCCUCAACCUACGGGGCGCGUCUCUGCUCAGCAACAGGAAGAGGGGCUGCGCCGCCACGCGUCCUGCUUUUUCCUGCGCCCCAGCAACGCACCGCUGUGCGUCUUCUUGAUGGAGGCACUGCGCCGCUUUCCGGUGCUUGUUCGGCCAGCUGUGUUGCAGCACUGGCAGUCCACCUGGACCGCACGUCACUCCUUGAUGGACGUGUUGCUUGCCUUCCACACAGCCCUCUGCCCCUUCGUGCUGUCCUCAUCCUCUGCCGGGGUUACCGCCGCAUGUCAAGCGCCGCCUUCGCCGUCGUGGAUGAAGGGCGGACCGCCUUUUCCGGCCUCCACGAUGCUGCAGGACACCGUGGACCUCCUGGAUGCCUUGCUGUGCGCCGCCUUCGCUCUCGCUGAGGAGCGCGAUGCCGCACAGCCGCUGUCUGUCAACGACUUCGUCAUCGAGCAAGCAACCCUGUUCCUUCUUUUCUACGAGGCGCUUGUGCAUCAACGCGAGGGUCGACUGCGUCGUAUCCCCGGCGUGGUGCGCGUCCUCCUCGGGCUCUCGGACCGGUGUGCUAGUGCCGCAGCGGAGAGCUGCGCCGCUGACGAGGCUGCCGCAUGUUUGCCGCGUGGUGGAGCCACGGCGAACGAGAAGGUUCAUCAUGCGGUGCGCCAUCUCCUUCCGUUUGCGCCGCUGAAUCUCUUUUACGAGCGAGUCGCGCAGCUGGCGGCCGCCUCACGCAAAGGGCAUGACAGCCGACGUGAGGUGCAGCCGUACCCGAUGAACUCGAUCGCGCUACCCAUCCGCCGCAUGUCCCUUGCACCGCAACUGCAGCACAGCACGUUGCUUGCGCUGUUACCGCUCGGUGAGUCGCUGCGGGAGCUGCAGGGGGUAGCGGCGCGGGUGUGGCAGGAGGAGCUCCCCGCGUGCUGGCAGCGUGUCGUCGCAGCCGUGGGCACGCGUGAUGGCCACCCAAGAGCACACCCCUCCUCUGCAGCGCUGCGGGGGACCAAUGACGACGCCGGCGCCUCUGCACCCACUCAACUCAGUGUAGAGAACUUCUAUCAUCCUCUGGUGCCACACGCUGUUCGAGUGCUGUACCUCCUCACUGCACACGCCCUGCGUGCGCCGACCGAAGCGGCGAAGCAAGUGCCGCUUGUGCAGCUGCAGAUGAUCUGCCAGUUGUCUGACGAGCAGCUGCUCCUCGUGCUCAAGGAGCUGCAGGUCGCGGGGCUGGCGAGUACAAAUCUCAAAACAAAGUCAGCGCGAACGCUGCUUGACACGGUGUGAUGAGCAACGAAAAGGCGGAGCGCGAGAGAGUGGAGCGGUGCGGGGCGCGGCGGUGCUGCGUUGGACGCAGGAGAGGACCUUUACGCGCCAGCUCUCACCCCCCCCCCUCCUCCUCCUCCCCUCACCUCUGCAUUCGCUUGUGCCUCUACCGCAGAGUUAUCGGUGUGCGCUUCGGCGCCCUUGGCGGACAUGAACGCGCUACCAAAAAGUGAACGGCACAGGGAAAAGACGUGCGGAGUGGGGGAGGGGGCGGUGUUAGAGUGCUGUGGGUGAUGACCUAACACCGCUCACCUAUAGCAUCAGCCCAGGGAGGCCCCGUACGGCACCUCUGUUGGCCAGCAGCGCAGCAUAUGGGCGUCUGUGUUUUGUGUGUGUGUGUGUGUUGUUCUAUGCAGCGGCAUCACUGCUGAAGUCGUCGCUGUAGUUCCUCCCCGCUCAUUGUCUUCUCUAUCCCUCCCUCUAUGCACGUGUUACGACGGAAAAGACAAGCCCAGCUGGGUUCGUGCUAUCGGAUGCGCAGCUGUUGGCAGUUGUAGCUGUUCCCGUCUCUGGAGUUACGUGAGCGUUAUCGGAAGGCACCCCUGCGGCAGCGCGCUCCGCCCGCCCCACCUCCUCCGACUCCAUGUCCUUUCCUCUGUGCUCCAUGGGCUACUCAUAACGGUCUGCCCGCACGCGCGGCUUUGCUUCGCCUUCCGUUCCACUCAUGUCCCCGACACGCUUUUUCCGUUGCUGCUGCGCGCGCUCAUGCACCUGGGUGGCUGCUGUGGGGAACUGUGUUAG
rnacentral:misc_RNA from 1 species